rnacentral:lncRNA from 1 species
AUGCAGGAUUAUAUAGUGUACCUAUGUGUGAAGUGGCUCUUAAGUGCUAUUUUCCUUUUGUAUCUUAAUGACCUCUACAGCCUGUAUUUCAGAAGAAGCAAAGUUUUAUUACCCACAAAGCUUUAUAUACAGGAGACAAGCUCAGAUGACAUGGUUACAGACAAGCAAAUAACAUUACAAACAAGCUACAGAGCGUUAUGAUCUAAACUUCUUAAGAAGGUAUGUAACUAUUACAGGUGAAGAAAUGAUUCUACUUAAUUUUGUUGUAUCUAUUCUGUUUGUACAUACUUAAUAUAUCACCAUCUGUCUACCUCCCUGUCUCCAGCAUACCUGCACACAGAGGUCAGUUACAAGCUCCUGUGAUUUUAAGGGACACUUUCACUGAGCUGACAGGAAUAUCCAAAGGAAACAAAAUUUCCAACAAUGUCAUUUAAAAGAGCCAUGACUACUUCAAAACAGUCCUCAGGAGAAAAAGCAUAAUAAGCGCUCUGAUCACUUUGUGUUUUUCACUUAUUAUCUGUUUGAGGCAGACCCCAGCUUCUGUGAGACUGUGCAAAAGAAAACAAAACAAAAACAACAAACUGAACAAUCAAAAACAAAGCGCAAGGUCUGUUGCGAAGUCUGCAGUUCUGCUGUAGCAAAAAAAUAGAAAAAAAAAAAAAAAAAAAAAGUGGUAACAACAAAAAAAACCCUCCAACCACUAUUUUAAAAAAUUCUAGUUGAUUUAUUUUAACAAAAACCUGCUGCAGACUGCCUUCAUCUCCUUUUCUUUCUAUCCUCUCAUGCAAUCAGUUUUGCUGUUUCUGUGGCAACCUUAUUGCUAAGGGUUCAGUGUGUGAGUAAAUUGGAACAUUAUCUGCGGUUGUGCAAGUUAUUU